rnacentral:lncRNA from 1 species
AUAAAUGAUUUUUUGUCUUCUUUAUACUAAAUCUUAUUGCAUAUAUGUAUGUGUUAGGUGUUUGUAGAGUAUCUGGGUAUAUAUGUGUGUGUAUGUAUAUAUAUGUAUUAGUAUCUGUAUUUCUAUCUUUAUUUUAAAUCUACCUUAUUCCUCUAGACAUGUCAUCUCAAAAAAAUCUGUUCUUAAAUUUUUCAGCAUUUAAAUCUAUUCUUUACUAAAUAAUUUAGUUUCUUGUGUUAUAAUAUUUGUACAUAUACAAUGUUUACCAAUGAAGGAUAAAUUUUUUGAGUAUUUUCCCACUGACUAAUACUAAGAACAGACAUGAUCUGUAUUUUCCAUGUGCAAAAACAUAUUUCCGUACACAAAAAUAAAUGUAUUUAUAUUUCCAUAUAUAGUUAUAUUUAUAAGUAUAUUUCCAUAUACAAAUAUGUGUGUUUCCUUCUAAGAAAAAGUGACCAUUCAUAGUAUUUGAAUCACACCAUCAGGAAUCUAUGAUAUAUGAAAGCAAUGAGAAACUGUCAAGUUCAACAGAUGGAAAUCUGGACAAUCCAGCAUCCCUUAAGACAACUGUCCCUUCUUCCUGAGGUGGAGAUGAGCUCGAAGAUCUUCAACAAGGCUGAGAUUGUCCAGCUGCAGGAAACCAGAGAAGCUUUGGGAUGCUCAGGUUCAACAGGAGAUGAGAGAGGAACAAGGAGAUGA